rnacentral:rRNA from 1 species
GAUGAACGCUGGCGGCGUGCCUAAUACAUGCAAGUCGAGCGAACAGACGAGGAGCUUGCUCCUCUGACGUUAGCGGUGGACGGGUGAGUAACACGUGGAUAACCUACCUAUAAGACUGGGAUAACUUCGGGAAACCGGAGCUAAUACCGGAUAACAUGUUGAACCGCAUGGUUCAACAGUGAAAGACGGUCUUGCUGUCACUUAUAGAUGGAUCCGCGCCGCAUUAGCUAGUUGUUAAGGUAACGGCUUACCAAGGCAACGAUGCGUAGCCGACCUGGGAGGGUGAUCGGCAACACUGGAACUGAGACACGGUCCAGACUCCUACGGGAGGCAGCAGUAGGGAAUCUUCCGCAAUGGGCGAAAGUCUGACGGAGCAACGCCGCGUGAGUGAAGAAGGUCUUCGGAUCGUAAAACGCUGUUAUUAGGGAAGAACAAAUGUGUAAGUAGCUAUGCACGUCUUGACGGUACCGAAUCAGAAAGCCACGGCUAACUACGUGCCAGCCGCCGCGGUAA